rnacentral:misc_RNA from 1 species
GCAUCUUAUUAUGGUAGGGAACAUGGGGAGCCAUCCCCAUCUCAUAUAGGGAGAUCUGGAUGGCAGCAGUCUGAUCUUGACAAGAGCCAAAUUAUGAACAAUGGUUUGAGUGGCCAUUAUAAGAGACAGGGUGGCUCAAACAGUGGUCUUGGCGGCUAUUCACCAAGAAAGAGAAGAACUGAGGCUGCUGCUAAGACUCCUUCCCCAACUAAACACUCUCCC